rnacentral:rRNA from 1 species
UACGGAGGGGGCUAGCGUUGUUCGGAAUUACUGGGCGUAAAGCGCGCGUAGGCGGCUUUGUAAGUCGGGGGUGAAAUCCUGGAGCUCAACUCCAGAACUGCCUUCGAUACUGGAAAGCUCGAGUCCGGGAGAGGUGAGUGGAACUGCGAGUGUAGAGGUGAAAUUCGUAGAUAUUCGCAAGAACACCAGUGGCGAAGGCGGCUCACUGGCCCGGUACUGACGCUGAGGUGCGAAAGCGUGGGGAGCAAACAGG